rnacentral:lncRNA from 1 species
AGGUGACUAGAGGUAACUAAGGGGCCUGGAGAGAUGGCUCAGCAGUUAAGAGCCCUGACUACAGCACCACUCCUGCCUCAGGACCUUUGCAUGAUCGCUUCACCAGCAUCAUUUCAGACAUCUCCACAGCUGACCCUCUGCUCCUCAGGGACUUGUCAUCUCACUGCUGCCUUCCAUGUCUCUGGGUGUCUUCCAAGCAGGGGCUCUGUAAGCCCACGCUGCAUGUUGGGGAGGUCAGACCAAAUUCCCCCUUCACAGAGGACACUGGGCCCAGCUGGCCAAGCCAAUCAUUUGUCCAGCAGAUGAGGGAUUCGAGCUCCUGCUGACUCCAAAGUAUGGAGGUGCUGGGAAUAGAGGUGCAAAGAUAUCUGAACUCACAAGACCCCGAACAGAACCCCUUCCCAAGAGGACCCUGAGGCUUAUAUUACAGAACCUUAUAUUAUAGAUGCUCAAGCGUGAGCUUGAAGUUUGGUUUACACCCGGGCAGUUAU